rnacentral:lncRNA from 1 species
AUGAUGGAGGGCCAAAAUGGGAAGGGGAGGUUAAGUUUUUAAGAAUCAAUAGUGGUAGGCAUGAGGGCGGGAUUCCUUGAGAACAAGAGAGAGAUUCAUCAGGAUUUUCUAGGGACUAUGGGCAAACACUGAGAGAGAUUAUUUUAGUGGCUAGGUGAGGAAGGUAAAGAAGAAAGGAAGUAAGACAUAAUCGCGACGACAUGAGGCGCGAAGGAUGAGUUAAGGGCAAUAAGAGCUUGAAGGCUUUUGGUGUCAGGUUUUUUACCAUGAGAAGAGCUUGAACCAAGUAUAGGUAGGGAAGUUAACCAGUGUGUGUUUCAUUUUCUUGUUUGAAUGAGUGUUGAUAA